UAGCAAGACACAAAAUGAUUGGUAUCGCGUCCGCCCAUUAGAAAAUUAUUGAGCGAACCAAAUUUGUACCCUCUCAGUUGAUGGUAGCGGACUCCGUGAAGCAGGCCAUUGGGGCCCGCAACACGGGUGGGUUAAUCAACCCACGCGUUUACUAACAGGAAAGGAAUAUAUAGACGGUAUUCGUCUGCGGAUAAAUGCCCUACCCACGAAGUCUCGUACUACAAGGGGAAGGCACGAAUUGGAACGACAGUGUCGUGCAGGAUGUGACGCUCCCGAAACAACAAACCAUAUUAUGCAAAAAUGUUACCGAUCGCAUGGGAGGCGCAUAGCUAGACACAACUGCGUAGUAAAUCGAAUCAAGCGGGGACUUGAGGAGAGAGGCUGCGUAGUCAUUGUUGAACCAAGUCUGCAGUGCGAAUCCGGUCUUAAUAAACCAGACCUGGUGGCACUACGACAAAAUCACAUUGAUGUGAUCGACAUACAAAUUGUGACAGACGGACACUCUAUGGAUGAUGCACACCAGCGCAAAAUCAAUAGAUACGACAGACCGGACAUACGAACUGAGUUGCGUCGCAGAUUCGAAGCCGCAGGUGACAUUGAAUUCCAUUCUGCCACCCUGAACUGGAGGGGGAUCUGGAGUGGUCAAUCCGUUAAAAGAUUGAUAGCGAAGGGUCUCCUCAGCAAAUAUGAUAGUCAUAUCAUUAGCGUCCAGGUUAUGAGAGGCAGUCUCGGUUGUUUUAAACAGUUCAUGUACCUGAGCGGGUUUUCCCGAGAUUGGACUUAGCUAAAACGUUUGGUUCAAAACAUUUGCUUGCUGUCUUGGCAUAACAUCAAUAAAGGCAUAAACAUCGCAAAUAAUGGUAAUAUAUAAAUUGGCUAUGAGGAUGGUUUUAGUACGUAGGCGUUGCGGAACUUCGGUUCAGAUAGAGCAAUGAAUCGUGCAUGCUAGGAAACUGAAGUGUUGACAGACCUAGUAUCUUUCGAUAGAUUUCCAUACCUCCGCGAUCAAAAAAAAAAAAAAAAUAGCCAAAUGCCUCGUCAUCUAAUUAGUGACGCGCAUGAAUGGAUUAACGAGAUUCCUACUGUUCCUAUCUACUAUCUAGCGAAACCACAGCCAAGGGAACGGGCUUGGAAUAAUUAGCGGGGAAAGAAGACCCUUUUGAGCUUGACUCUAAUCUGGCAGUGUAAGGAGACAUAAGAGGUGUAGAAUAAGUGGGAGAUAUUAGACCUCGGUUUGGUAUCGUCAAUGAAAUACCACUACUCUUAUUGUUUCCUUACUUACUUGAUUAAAUGGAACGUGUAUCAUUUCCUAGCCAUUAUACGGAUAUAUUUAUUAUAUCUUAUGGUAUUGGGUUUUGAUGCAAGCUUCUUGAUCAAAGUAUCACGAGUUUGUUAUAUAAUCGCAAACAAAUUCUUUAAUAAAACGAUGCAUUUAUGUAUUUUUGAUUUGAAAAUUUGGUAUAACUCCAAUUACUCAGGUAUGAUCCAAUUCAAGGACAUUGCCAGGUAGGGAGUUUGACUGGGGCGGUACAUCUCUCAAAUAAUAACGGAGGUGUCCCAAGGCCAGCUCAGUGCGGACAGAAACCACACAUAGAGCAAAAGGGCAAAUGCUGACUUGAUCUCGGUGUUCAGUACACACAGGGACAGCAAAAGCUCGGCCUAUCGAUCCUUUUGGUUUAAAGAGUUUUUAACAAGAGGUGUCAGAAAAGUUACCAUAGGGAUAACUGGCUUGUGGCGGCCAAGCGUUCAUAGCGACGUCGCUUUUUGAUCCUUCGAUGUCGGCUCUUCCUAUCAUUGUGAAGCAAAAUUCACCAAGCGUUGGAUUGUUCAAUCAUUAAUAAGAGACAAUUCUAGAUGAAAAAUAUUUCAAUUUUUUAUGCUAGACAUUUCUCAGUAUUAUUUGAUUGAAAAAGAAAAUAUUUCUCUUCGUUUUUCACAUUCAAAUGUGAGAUAAUGUUUUUCAUUUCUUUUUUAAUAUUAUGAAUAAAAUCAUUAUUUAAUCCCAAUAAUAUACCAUAUGCUUAUAAAAAAUUUAUAAACAACUUAAUUAGCAUAGUCUUACAACCCUCAACCAUAUGUAGUCCAAGCAGCACUAUAAAAUUAUUUAAAGUACAUAACAGCAUGGACUGCGAUAUGCGUUCAAAAUGUCGAUGU
rnacentral:rRNA from 1 species